CACUCCCUCGACCCAAACUUAGUGUUUAAAAUGGAUGAGGCUGAAAAACUUUUGCUUUGUGCCUCAAAAAUCAAAUGGUAUAUUUGAAAGUAACUGUCUGAAAUAUUUCCAGUUAGAAUGACAAUUGUUUCCUUAUAUGUUGCUGCCACAUGCACAUUUCCUUGUGAAAUGCAAUAGUCUGCUUACCUUAUUGCUGACAAUAAUUUGCAUCUUCUGUUCUCUAUGUUUCUUGGUUCACUUGACUGGAUUUGGUGUUUUUUACAGCGCUCACGUUAUGACCUUGAGGAAGAGAUGAGGAAUGCCCAAAAGAAACGUAAUGGAGGCAGUGCAUCCAGAGCAUAUGGAGAUACCCAAGAUUUUCCAUCUGAAAGAAGUGGUAAUAGGCGGAAUUGGAGAGAAGUAUGGAGUUCAUAUGGCAAUAUGCACUCCAAGGGGUCGGCAGCAAGCUGUUCAAACAGAUACAUGUGACAAAUUCAUGCAUACUGUGGUACAAGUUUUUGGGAUUUAGGUAUGAUCUGGGAUCAAGUGAAUGUUGGAUAUUUUCAGAUAUCUGUAUUUGAAGCCUCUUCACUUCCAGCAUAUGGGAAAUGACUCUGGCCACUGUUCAAGGGAUUGGAAACAAUUUGGUUAACAACUUGAAGAAGCGAGAAAUGUGUGGUUUUACCCAUGCUCUAAAAUGAUAUUUGGGUCUGGCAUGGGUGGACACUAUUCUUCGUGCACAGCCAAGAAGUCUGUUGACCCUUGUCACCGCAACUUGUGUUCCAGUCACUACUGGGGCUAUGCACGAGCACUGAAGGAGCCAGUUGAUGAAGUUAUUGGAUAUCGGAUUUCAGAGCAUUUGUCUUCUGUAUUGUUGGUAGGACAAAUUAUCUCCAUCGGGCGGCUUCACGCCACUGCAAAGUAGCCGAUCCUGACAUCUCACGAGGUCUCACCAAGGUGUUGGCGAGGGCUGCAAGGUGGCCAUUGGAGACUUCUAGAAUGACUUUUAUGUCCUACUUCUGAGAGCCUGCAGGAUUGAUUGAUUGGUUUGGAUAAUUUUGUAAAACUUCACUAUCUCUUGCUCACAAGGGAGAGAUUGUUGCCAAUCCUUACACUACAAACACUGUAAACCUGUAUAUAAUCAUGAAGUAUUGCAGGGAGACAAGGUUGUUAAAUAAAAUGGAGCUCAUAUACAUCAAA